rnacentral:lncRNA from 1 species
AGAAAACAAAAACAAACAACGGAGGAAAAGCAUGAUAAGGUAUCGAUUAAGGUUGAAUUCAUGCAUGUUCUUUAUUUGAUAGUUUUAUUUUUGCAAAAGAUCUAUUUCCAUGUUACUACCAUAUAUUUCUUUAAGAGUAUUCAUGAGACACUUUGCAUCAUUAAUUAAUCUUUUUUUUAACCAUUACAUUAUUAAUUAUAACUUAAUGCCAGGGAAAAUCUUUUUUUUAACCAUUACAUUAUUAAUUAUAACUUAAUGCCAGGGAAAUUCUAAUUCAGUAUUUGAGAAUUUUGUAACUGUGACACAACAAUCAAAAUAUGUUAAUCAUGAAGCCAACCAUGCUUAGAUCAUAAUUGCAUAAAAUAACCUUCCUACUAGUUAUAUAUUGCCAGAAAUUUUAAGAGCAAAGAAUUUGAUUCAAAGAAAAACAUGGAUUUUCACUUUUAACUUUGCACAUUAGAGAAUGCAAC